GAUUAUUAGCUCUGUGUGUUUAUGUAAAUCUUCUGUUGCAUAUUUAAACACCAGACAUGAGUCAGUUUAUACAUUCAUCUGAUCACUAGAGGGAGAGAAGAACAAACUGUGCUGUGAAACACACCAUGAUCUCUUCAUCUUUAGUGUUGCUUUUGGCAGUAGUAUCCUGUAUUCAUUCAGAUGAACUCACUCAGCCUGAGUCUCUGACUGUCCGUCCUGAUGCCACUCUAACUAUCAACUGUAAAGUCUCAUAUUCAGUAACUAGUUCUAGUACAGGCUGGAUUCGUCAGCCUGCAGGAAAAGCUCUGGAAUGGAUUGGAGUGAUCUGGAGUGGUGGAGACUUAGCCUACAAGGAUUCACUGAAAAGCAAGUUCAGCAUCACCAGAGACACCUCCAGUAACACAAUAACACUGCAGGGAAAUAAUAUGCAAGCUCAAGACACAGCUGUGUAUUAUUGUGCCAGAGAAUCACAGUGAGAGACGCCAACAGCCUCCCUGUACAAAAACAUCUUUAUCAUCAUCAUUACAAAUUAUUUUUCUAUAAAAAUUGGAUCACCCCCUCAAUGUAUGUUCUUACCCACUGGCUGCAUCGGAAAUUGCAUAUUCUUCUUCCAAUACC